UAGGGAAUCUUCCGCAAUGGACGAAAGUCUGACGGAGCAACGCCGCGUGAGUGAAGAAGGAUUUCGGGUCGUAAAACUCUGUUGUUAGGGAAGAAAAAAUGUAUAGUAACUAUAUACAAAAGAGACGGUACCUAACCAGAAAGCCACGGCUAACUACGUGCCAGCAGCCGCGGUAAUACGUAGGUGGCAAGCGUUGUCCGGAAUUAUUGGGCGUAAAGCGCGCGCAGGUGGUUUAGAAAGUCUGAUGUGAAAGCCCACGGCUCAACCGUGGAGGGUCAUUGGAAACUAAUAAACUUGAGUGCAGGAGAGAAAGGUGGAAUUCCUAGUGUAGCGGUGAAAUGCGUAGAGAUUAGGAGGACCACCGGUGGCGAAAGCGGCUUUUUGGCCUGCAACUGACACUGAGGCGCGAAAGCGUGGGGAGCAAACAGG
rnacentral:rRNA from 1 species